ACCCACUAUGGGCUGACAGUCAGACAGUUGCAGAGGGCUGCAGGUCCCAGCACUGCAAGAUGGAACACAGAGAGGGGACUCUAACUGAGAGGGGACUUUGCAACUGGCAGCGGUGAAGACAGAAAAAAAUGAGUGCUGUUUUCUCACAUCAAGAGGCAUCCUGGAAGGUACUGAAGGCACAGAGGCAAAGGAAGGAAGGGCACCACGUGUGGGUGGCAGGAGAAGGGCAGGCAGGAGGUGGUAUUCACAUCAGGAAGCGUUCCAGCCCAGCAGCAGCGCUGCAGAAGUAGGAGCCCCUGAAGGACUCACGGCCCAACAGGAGGGUCCAGUGAAGCCUCCAGAGAACAUUCAGAGCCAAGCUCCAUUCCAGGCUGGGGUGUGACUGCUCCAUGGCCUCCUGGCUGCCAUCCCUGCCCUCAUGGACCCCACUCAUCCUCCUAGCCACCAAAUCGACCCUGAAAUGUAAACUCAGCACAGUCUGGUCCCUGGAGCCCCUCCAUGACUCCCGCAGGAGCACCAGGCCAGUUCAUACUGACGACAGGCCACCUCUAAGAAGUGGAAUCAUGGAAUGAAGCCUGUAGCACCUCACCGAAUACUAGGCUGCUCAUGGACAUGCCAAGGCUGAGGAGACAGAGUUCCGGGGCUUCAAGAGGACGGUGCAGACAGCAGGUGUUGUGGAAUUUACAGCCCAUUUGGGGAACAGCAGCAGGAAUAUGUCGGGUGGCUCCAGAGAAAGGCUACCAAUCUGUGGACCACACCAAAGACGCAGAGUUACCAGCAGAGCGACCGAAAUAAAGACAUGAGCUCCACCUUACUGAGGGCCAUCCCAACACUGCCAGCACCCCGGCACGAGAGCAGCUCCCAGAACAAGACACUCCUGCCAGCCUGGCCCAGACACAGACCCCACAAAUUCAUGAAUUCCAAAAAAAGAAAAAAGAAAAAAAAACCUUGCUAAUCUAUAACCCACUGCCCCCUCUCACCUAGUAACUCACUUAUACAUACAUCACUGCCUUCUUGCAAAUAGGACUCCAUCAAAGGACACGGAGAAGCAGCUCAGGAAAACACGUAGAAACCCCUUUCUCAGUCUCUCUCCAAGAAGGCCAGCAUCCCUGAACCUCCUCUGUGUGCUGCUCUGGCUGCCACACAAGACUUGGAAGCCAGUACAGCCCAGGGGAUCACACAUGUGACAGCCCCAGGAUUGAAGACCCAAGGAAACGGAGGUUUGCUUUGCCACGAGCUCCUGCCAUGAUGCGCCAUCCUUGCCAGAGGCCCAAACCCAUGGUGCCACCUGAUUUUGAACUGGAACCUCCAGAAGCCCAAUUAGUGGCUCUGAUGCCGAGGUUCCCAGCACUCGCACGAUCAAUAGCACCCGCUGGCCAGCAGAGCGGGAUGGCCUGUCUGCACUCGACCAGCUUCGAUCCGCACCUGUGCUCCAUCAUAAUCCUUCCGGCCGCCUGGCGGAGGCUGAUUAACAAAGCCCAUUCUGCCUGUUUAUUCUCCCAUUGAUUUCACUGUGCUGGACCCAAAGCCCGAACAUCAAUACCCUGGUGGGUGAGGCACCUUCCCAGGGCCUCUGCAGUCUCUCCUAAGGUGAGGAGUGUCCCCAGCCCCUGUCAAUCACAUAUGCACGGCACAGAGAGCCAUCUCUCUGUGUGGGGGACAUCGUGGGUGACCAGGGCUAACAGAGUCAAUGCUGUCAAUAACUAAUAAAAAAAAAUCCCCAAAGCGUUCCCCACACCGGAAA